rnacentral:misc_RNA from 1 species
UCAAACUUGGUCAUUUAGAGGAAGUAAAAGUCAUAACAAGGUUUCCGUAGGUGAACCUGUGGAAGGAUCAUUAAUGAACAAGACAUUGGCUGGGGUUGUCUGCUGGCAUCCUCGUAUGCAUGUGCACACCUCAGUCACUCUGUCAUUCACCCUCUCCACCUGUGCAUCCUCUUGUAGGCCAGAUUGCCAUUUAAUCUGUGGUGUACUCACCGCUGCUUUUGGGACUUGCUGUUACACGACAGCUCCUCUCGUCCAUGGCCCAUCUGGUCUAUGCACCUUUACCAGAAACCCUCUCAUGUUUUGCCUGUAUGUCGCGUUGGCUUUUUUAAAGCAUGUAUGUACAACUUUCAACAAUGGAUCUCUUGGCUCUUGCAUCGAUGAAGAACGCAGC